rnacentral:rRNA from 1 species
UACAGAGGUCCCAAGCGUUGUUCGGAUUCACUGGGCGUAAAGGGUGCGUAGGCGGUCGGGUAAGUCUGAUGUGAAAUCUCACAGCUUAACUGUGAAACUGCAUUGGAUACUAUCCGGCUAGAGGAAUGGAGGGGAGACUGGAAUACUUGGUGUAGCAGUGAAAUGCGUAGAUAUCAGGAGGAACACCGGUGGCGAAGGCGGGUCUCUGGGCAGUAACUGACGCUGAGGAGCGAAAGCGUGGGGAGCGAACAGG